rnacentral:rRNA from 1 species
UACAGAGGGUGCGAGCGUUAAUCGGAAUUACUGGGCGUAAAGCGUGCGCAGACGGUCAUGUAAGUCGGGUGUGAAAGCCCCGGGCUCAACCUGGGAAUUGCAUUCGAGACUGCAUGGCUAGGGUGCGGAAGAGGGAAGCGGAAUUUCCGGUGUAGCGGUGAAAUGCGUAGAUAUCGGAAGGAACACCAGUGGCGAAAGCGGCUUCCUGGUCCAGCACCGACGUUCAGGCACGAAAGCGUGGGGAGCAAACAGG